AACAUCGCGCACCUGCGGGAACCUGCGGAAGGAUCAUUACCGAGUGUGAACCCCCCCGUAAAAAAGAGGGGUUACCUCCCGUCCUUUGCUGGGAACCCCUUUCCAACUUGGAAGGAGGUUGUUUUCAGACCCUUCUGCUUCGGUGGGGUAACCCACCGGAACAACCUCAAAAAUAUUCUCAAUUCAAAACCGUUCAGUCCGAGAACUUUUUUGAGAAGCGAAAAAACUUUCAACAACGGA
rnacentral:misc_RNA from 1 species